UACGGAGGGUGCAAGCGUUAUCCGGAUUUACUGGGUUUAAAGGGUGCGUAGGUGGAUAGGUAAGUCAGUGGUGAAAUCUUCAAGCUUAACUUGGAAACUGCCAUUGAUACUAUUUAUCUUGAAUACUUUGGAGGUAAGCGGAAUAUGUCAUGUAGCGGUGAAAUGCUUAGAUAUGACAUAGAACACCAAUUGCGAAGGCAGCUUACUACACAGUUAUUGACACUGAGGCACGAAAGCGUGGGGAUCAAACAGG
rnacentral:rRNA from 1 species